ACUUGAAGUGUACUGUUAGAUAGAGGCACGUGACCAGAAAGCUAGCUACAGAUUGUUUACCUCCUGUAUUGAACACAGAUCACCCCAUUUUAAAUUUUAGCGAUUCUUUAGGUAAAAAAAUACCUAAAGUUGUACUACAAAAGUAGUUUGAAAUGUUUUGGCAAAGUUUACAGGUAACUUUUGAGAUAUUUUGUAGUCACGUUGCUCAAGUUGGAACCAGUGUUUUUCUGGAUCAAACGCCCCAAAUAAAUUGACAUUUUGGAUAUACAUCGACGGAAUUAAUCGAACAAAAGGACCAUUUGUGAUGUUUAUGGGACAUAUUGGAGUGCCAACAAAAGAAGCUUGUCAAAGGAGAGAUAAAGGGAGGUAGUGAAGGAGGCAGAUCUCCCGAGUGGUGCAGCAUUCUAAGGCACUGCAUCUCAGUGCUAGAGUCGUCACUACAGACCCUGGUUCGAUCCUGGACUGCAUCAC
ensembl:lncRNA